AUUGAACGCUGGCGGCAGGCCUAACACAUGCAAGUCGAGCGGAUGAAGGGAGCUUGCUCCUGGAUUCAGCGGCGGACGGGUGAGUAAUGCCUAGGAAUCUGCCUGGUAGUGGGGGAUAACGUCCGGAAACGGGCGCUAAUACCGCAUACGUCCUGAGGGAGAAAGUGGGGGAUCUUCGGACCUCACGCUAUCAUAUGAGCCUAGGUCGGAUUAGCUAGUUGGUGGGGUAAAGGCCUACCAAGGCGACGAUCCGUAACUGGUCUGAGAGGAUGAUCAGUCACACUGGAACUGAGAAACGGUCCAGACUCCUACGGGAGGCAGCAGUGGGGAAUAUUGGACAAUGGGCGAAAGCCUGAUCCAGCCAUGCCGCGUGUGUGAAGAAGGUCUUCGGAUUGUAAAGCACUUUAAGUUGGGAGGAAGGGCAGUAAGUUAAUACCUUGCUGUUUUGACGUUACCAACAGAAUAAGCACCGGCUAACUUCGUG
rnacentral:rRNA from 1 species